CCAACGACCAAAGCAAAGGACAGCAGAACUGACUGACACAUUGCUCAGAAAAUAUCCAAAGCUCUGUAUGCUCUGGAAAGGAAGGCAAGAAAUACUAAAGACUCUGGAUAUUGCUCUGUUUCUAUAAGGUCCCACCCAUAUACCAUCUCUUCUUUUGGAUUUCCUUUGGCAGUAACCUGAAGUUAUAUAAGUGGCAUGUUCCCAAGUACAAAGGGAGCCCUUCUAUUGCUUCUGCUUACAAAGAGGUGUCAACCUAAGAAAAAGCCAGAACAAGCCAAAGUUCAGGGUUCCCUUGUAUGGAAGUUCUCAGGAGAACAACACUCUCAGAGUCCCAUUGUCUCAAAGAAUUCUUAAUGGACAGCUAUACUUGGCCCCAAGGUUUCAACCUCAGACUGAAGAAAGUGACAUAAGAAAACACAAGUCCCAGUGCUAUCAGGGGCUAUCUGGAAAAGCUGCUUAAACAGCAAGUGAAAGAAGGCUCUCCCCUACCCCGUUCUAGACUCACCCUGAAGUUAUUUGAAGGAUCCUUGAGACUCUUUUGGAUUGCUGCUUGGAGAACAUUCCUGUAACUUGUCCCUGCUCCUUGAACUAUAAAAGCAGAAGGGAGGUACUGAGUUAAAACUUAUAAAUUAUUAUCAAAUAAAUCUUCAAUAGUGGUUCAGUCCAA
rnacentral:antisense_RNA from 1 species